AGGGAUUUAGAAAACCACUAGCCCACGCG
rnacentral:piRNA from 1 species